rnacentral:sRNA from 1 species
CCCAAUAGUAGUCCUGCUCCUUUGAUUAUGCAGUCGAAGCAGGAGUUGGUUGGCACUGUUGAGGAAGAAAGAAAGGAAGAGGGAAUGUUCCUGACAUGGGAGGAUUUGCAGGUGACAGUUCCAAAUGGAAGGAAAGGUAGGAAACCGAUUCUUAAGGCUCUAACUGGUUAUGCCAAGCCAGGGCAACUUUUGGCAGUAAUGGGUCCUUCUGGCUGUGGCAAAUCAACACUUCUUGAUGCCUUAGCAGGAAGACUGGUUUCAAGCUCAAAGCAAACAGGGAAAAUUCUAAUUAAUGGCCAUAAACAUGAACUGGCUUAUGGAACAUCUGCAUACGUGACACAUGAUGAUGCUGUGUUAUCAACAUUAACAGUAGGAGAAGCAGUGUCCUAUUCAGCUCAUCUCCAAUUUCCAGAGUCAAUGUCCAACAAAGAGAAGAAAGAGAGAGUAGAUUUUACAAUCAGACAAAUGGGUCUACAAGAGACCACUCACACAAGGAUUAAAGGGAAGGCUUCUAAAGGCCUUAGUGAGGGGCAAAAGAGGAGACUUGCCAUUUGUAUUCAGAUUCUUACAAGCCCCAAACUUCUCCUUCUUGAUGAACCAACCAGUGGCCUUGACAGUGCAGCUUCCUACUAUGUCAUGAGCAGAAUUGCAAGCCUAAAGAUAAGAGAUGGCAUCAAAAGAACAAUUGUUGCAUCCAUCCAUCAGCCCAG